rnacentral:rRNA from 1 species
AUUGAACGCUGGCGGCAGGCCUAACACAUGCAAGUCGAACGAGUGGCGGACGGGUGAGUAAUGUCUGUGAAACUGCCUGAUGGAGGGGGAUAACUACUGGAAACGGUAGCUAAUACCGCAUACCAUCAGAUGUGCCCAGAUGGGAUUGGCUAGUUGGUGGGGUAACGGCUCACCAAGGCGACGAUCCCUAGCUGGUCGGAGAGGAUGACCGGCCACACGGGACCUGAGACACGGGCCGGACUCCUACGGGAGGAAGCAGUGGGAAAUAUUGCACAAUGGGGGAAAGCCUGAUGCAGCAAGGCCGCGUGUAGGAAGAAGGCCUUCGGGUUGUAAAGUACUUUCAGCGGGGAGGCGUUACCCGAAGAAGAAGCACCGGCUAACUCCGUGCCAGCAGCCGCGGUAAUUC